UACGUAGGGGGCAAGCGUUGUCCGGAAUCAUUGGGCGUAAAGCGCGCGUAGGCGGCCAGAUAAGUCCGGUGUAAAAGCCCCAGGCUCAACCUGGGAAUGCCGCCGGAAACUGUCUGGCUAGAGUCCGGAAGGGGCGAGUGGAAUUCCCGGUGUAGCGGUGAAAUGCGCAGAUAUCGAGAGGAACACCUGCGGCGAAGGCGGGUUGCUGGGCUGACACUGACGCUGAGAUGCGAAAGCGUGGGGAGCAAACAGG
rnacentral:rRNA from 1 species